rnacentral:tmRNA from 1 species
GGGGGUGAAAAGGGCUCGACUUAGGUAAGCCGGGUAAAAGUAGCAUGCCGCGGACGCAGGGUGGGCCGCGUUAACAAUCCUUGCAAAAAUAAACGCAAACGAUAACAAUCGUUUAUUAGCAGAAGCUAAUAGGAUCGUUGCACCGAUUUUUGCAACCCCUAUUAUGCCUGCUAUGGCGCUAGCCCUUCCUCACUAAAAAGGAAGGCCUCAACUCAAUCUGCCUAAGGGUUGUGUUUGAGCGGUUAAUUUAGGCUGGCCUGGGUUUUGGCCUUUUAGGCCCGGGCGAGACACUUAAAGGCUGCGGCUUAGCUGAUCCAGUUUGCCGGAGCGGCUAAGCUUAAGCGUAAAGGGCAGACUAAGCAUGUAGCGACUCUUAUUCGAUUACUUACGGACGGCGGUUCGAUUCCGCCCACCUCCACCA